GCCUGGGUGGCUCAGUCAGUUAAGCGUCUGACUUCGGCUCAGGUCAUGAUCUCACAGUUUGUGAGUUCGAGUCCUGCAUCAGGCU
rnacentral:tRNA from 1 species